ACUCCGGUUGAUCCUGCCGGCGGCCACCGCUAUAGGAAUUCGAUUAAGACAUGCGAGUCGAGAGGUGAAAGACCUCGGCGGACUGCUCAGUAACACGUGGAUAACGUGCCCUA
rnacentral:rRNA from 1 species